UACAGAGGUCUCAAGCGUUGUUCGGAUUCAUUGGGCGUAAAGGGUGCGUAGGCGGCGCGGUAAGUCGGGUGUGAAAUCUCGGAGCUUAACUCCGAAACUGCAUUCGAUACUGUCGUGCUUGAGGACUGGAGAGGAGACUGGAAUUCAUGGUGUAGCAGUGAAAUGCGUAGAGAUCAUGAGGAAGACCAGUGGCGAAGGCGGGUCUCUGGACAGUUCCUGACGCUGAGGCACGAAGGUCAGGGGAGCAAACGGG
rnacentral:rRNA from 1 species